AACAGAUAAGGAGCUUGCUCCUUUGACGUUAGCGGCGGACGUGUGAGUAACACGUGGGUAACCUACCUAUAAGACUGGGAUAACUUCGGGAAACCGGAGCUAAUACCGGAUAACAUUUGGAACCGCAUGGUUCUAAAGUGAAAGAUGGUUUUGCUAUCACUUAUAGAUGGACCCGCGCCGUAUUAGCUAGUUGGUAAGGUAACGGCUUACCAAGGCGACGAUACGUAGCCGACCUGAGAGGGUGAUCGGCCACACUGGAACUGAGACACGGUCCAGACUCCUACGGGAGGCAGCAGUAGGGAAUCUUCCGCAAUGGGCGAAAGCCUGACGGAGCAACGCCGCGUGAGUGAUGAAGGGUUUCGGCUCGUAAAACUCUGUUAUUAGGGAAGAACAAACGUGUAAGUAACUGUGCACGUCUUGACGGUACCUAAUCAGAAAGCCACGGCUAACUACGUGCCAGCAGCCGCGGUAAUACGUAGGUGGCAAGCGUUAUCCGGAAUUAUUGGGCGUAAAGCGCGCGUAGGCGGUUUCUUAAGUCUGAUGUGAAAGCCCACGGCUCAACCGUGGAGGGUCAUUGGAAACUGGGAAACUUGAGUGCAGAAGAGGAAAGUGGAAUUCCAUGUGUAGCGGUGAAAUGCGCAGAGAUAUGGAGGAACACCAGUGGCGAAGGCGACUUUCUGGUCUGUAACUGACGCUGAUGUGCGAAAGCGUGGGGAUCAAACAGGAUUAGAUACCCUGGUAGUCCACGCCGUAAACGAUGAGUGCUAAGUGUUAAGGGGUUUCCGCCCCUU
rnacentral:rRNA from 1 species